CCAAAGCCCAAACCUCUAUCGAGGUUCGCAACGGCGCUCAAGCGGUGGCGAAACCACAAAAAGUCUGGCCGAGACACUAAAGACCACUCAGACAACAGCUGCAGUGGGCAAGAAGAUUCCAAUGCCCUAGAAGGAAGGUCGGAACACUCCAGCUAUGGGGCAUCACAAAGUGUCUCUACAAAGAAAGGCACAGACAGCAAAAGACGAGGCUCGAAAAGGUACAGACGCAACGCCAUCUUUAGCUCCUCGAGCUCAGAGAGCCAAGAAGCAUCGUCAGACUACAGCAGCGAUGAAUCUGAAGGGAGCCAUCUCUCUGACAAGUUAGCAGCCAGCCUCCAUUCACAUCGGCAACACAAGGCCAGAGGUUCACCGAAAUCGACAGAAGAAGGCUCAAGGCAGUGUUUAGCCAUCAGGUCCCGCGGCGAGAGACAGGAGAUCGACGGGCAAACCCUGAGAUCACCCGCGAAAUCGAGGCCGAGCACGCCAGCCAAAUUGAGCACUUCCCCGCGCAACUCUGCCUUCAGUACCGUCAGCCCACGCGUGAAAGAAAGGAGCGCGGAGCGCAGGGUGCCUCGCGCCGAGCACCCGCAACCAGCAGAGGACCCAAAGCCCAUCGAGGACAAAGAGUCUGGUGCAGGCUCGCUCGAAGGAGAGUUUGGAGACGACUCAGAUCGCCCCGUGUCUAAACACGAGGACGAGGCACCUCGUCGGCGGUCCUCGAGGAAGUCUGAGCUCUUCGGAGAGUCCGAAGACAGCGAAGCAGAUCAACGCGGCGCCUACUCUGUGUCGAUGUAAAGGAGGCCGACGUGUGAAACGAGCACGCGGCGAACAGCGGGCGAUCGACUCAUUCCUUCUUCAACCACUGUCUCUCUACUUCACUCCUAUCUUUCAAAGAGAACGCAUGGAGUCCCGGGGACGACGACCCUCUAAAACACUCCGCUCGCACGGCGCACAGAGCUCUCGCAUGAUAUGCUAUUUGGAGGAGCUGGCCAACAAUGUGCAAGCGUCACACUUAGAGGAGGCGUCCUCGAGUGGAAAACAGCACCUCGGGCUGGUGAGCGUUUACUCGGAUCGCAGACGGUCUGACGAUGCGUCGAAGCGGCUGAAGAAGGAAACCUCGGACCAUGCUCUCGAUGAAAGAGCAGAUUCGGUCCAGUGCGGGACUUAGACGUCCGUACAAACCAGUGUGG
rnacentral:lncRNA from 1 species